GAAAUGCGAUAAGUAAUGUGAAUUGUAGAAUUCAGUGAAUCAUCGAAUCUUUGAACGCACAUUGCGCCCCCUGGUAUUCCGGGGGGCAUGCCUGUUCGAGCGUCAUUUCACCACUCAAGCCUCGCUUGGUAUUGGGCGACGCGGUCCGCCGCGCGCCUCAAAUCGACCGGCUGGGUCUUUCGUCCCCUCAGCGUUGUGGAAACUAUUCGCUAAAGGGUGCCGCGGGAGGCCACGCCGUAAAACAACCCCAUUUCUAAGGUUGACCUCGGAUCAGGUAGGGAUACCCGCUGAACUUAAGC
rnacentral:misc_RNA from 1 species